rnacentral:rRNA from 1 species
AUUGAACGCUGGCGGCAGGCCUAACACAUGCAAGUCGAGCGAGCGGCGGACGGGUGAGUAAUGUCUGGGAAACUGCCUGAUGGAGGGGGAUAACUACUGGAAACGGUAGCUACUACCGCAUACCAUCAGAUGUGCCCCGAUGGGAUUAGCUAGUAGGUGGGGUAACGGCUCACCUAGGCGACGAUCCCUAGCUGGUCUGAGAGGAUGACCAUCCACACUGGAACGGAGAAACGGCCCAGACUCCUACGGGAGGAAGGAGGGGGGAAUAUUGCACAAUGGGCGCAAGCCGGAUGCAGCCAUGCCGCGUGUGUGAAGAAGGCCUUCGGGUGGUAAAGCACUUUCAGCGGGGAGGCGUUACCCGCAGAAGAAGCACCGGCUAACUCCGUGCCAGCAGCCGCGGUAAUAC